rnacentral:rRNA from 1 species
UACGUAGGGUGCAAGAGUUGUCCGGAAUUAUUGGGCGUAAAGAGCUCGUAGGCGGUUUGUCGCGUCUGCUGUGAAAACUCAGGGCUUAACUCUGAGCUUGCAGUGGGUACGGGCAGACUAGAGUGCGGUAGGGGAGACUGGAAUUCCUGGUGUAGCGGUGAAAUGCGCAGAUAUCAGGAGGAACACCGGUGGCGAAGGCGGGUCUCUGGGCCGUAACUGACGCUGAGGAGCGAAAGCAUGGGGAGCGAACAGG